rnacentral:sRNA from 1 species
GCUGGGUGCAGUGGUGCGCACCUGUAGUCCCAGCUACUCGGGAAGCUGAGGCAGGAGAAUCACUUGAACCCAGGGAAGUGGAGGUUGCAGUGGGCUGAGAUCAUGCCACUGCACUCCAGCCUGGGUGACAGAGUGAGACUCUAUCUCAA